rnacentral:rRNA from 1 species
ACACGACUACAUUAGAUACCCGUGUAGUCCUAGCCGUAAACGAUACUCGCUAGGUGUCGGCCACGGUGCGACCGUUGUCGGUGCCGUAGGGAAGCCGUGAAGCGAGCCACCUGGGAAGUACGGCCGCAAGGGUGAAACUUAAAGGAAUUGGCGGGGGAGCACCACAACGGGUGGAGCUUGCGGUUUAAUUGGAUUCAACGCCGGAAAUCUUACCGGGACCGACAGCAACAUGAAGGCCAGGCUGAAGACUUUGCCGGAUUAGCUG